UGAUAAAACAAUUCUGUUGCCUUUAUGGCGAUGGUUAAACCCUCUGUGAACCAAAACCUUUAUUAGCUUCGGCAGCGUGCAAAGCAGGUUUGCGCCUGUUUUGUCUGUUAGCCUGCCGGCAGCACCAAAUCAAACUUUUGUUACCAAAAUUUAGUCUGAACAAUCAUUUUCGAAUGAAAAAUCA
rnacentral:misc_RNA from 1 species